UGCAAGUCGAACGGUAACAGAACUAGCUUGCUAGUUGCUGACGAGUGGCGGACGGGUGAGUAAUACUUAGGGAUCUGCCUCUGUGUGGGGGAUAACUAUUGGAAACGAUAGCUAAUACCGCAUAACGUCUACGGACCAAAGAGGGCUUCGGCUCUCGCGCAGAGAGGAACCUAAGCGAGAUUAGCUUGUUGGUGAGGUAAAGGCUCACCAAGGCGACGAUCUCUAGCUGUUCUGAGAGGAAGAUCAGCCACACUGGAACUGAGACACGGUCCAGACUCCUACGGGAGGCAGCAGUGGGGAAUAUUGCACAAUGGGGGCAACCCUGAUGCAGCCAUGCCGCGUGUGUGAAGAAGGCCUUCGGGUUGUAAAGCACUUUCAGUUGUGAGGAAAGGUUAGUAGUUAAUACCUGCUAGCUGUGACGUUAACAACAGAAGAAGCACCGGCUAACUCCGUGCCAGCAGCCGCGGUAAUACGGAGGGUGCGAGCGUUAAUCGGAAUUACUGGGCGUAAAGCGCACGCAGGCGGUCUGUUAAGCUAGAUGUGAAAGCCCCGCGCUCAACGUGGGAGGGUCAUUUAGAACUGGCAGACUAGAGUCUUG
rnacentral:rRNA from 1 species